CGAUGGUGUCUCAUGGGCUGACCUCCAAAGGAAUGGACGUCGCGCCCAAACCUUCCACUUUUUCCCUUGAUACCCGAUGAGCCGACACAAGAGGACAAAGUUUGCGCAGGAGCUUCAAGACGUCGGGAUGGUGAAUGGUUUCUCCUACUAGACAGUACCUGCCACUAGCUGAAGGGCUUUCAAGAGCUAGAAUAUGGACGUCGGCAACAUCUAGGACGUCGACAAAAUCGAAAUACUCGAAAGGAAAUUUAGGUCCUGCAUUACAUAAGCCUCAAUUACUCUGAAAUCAGAAUUGGUGAGGCGCUCUGCAUUAGGAGAAUCACUUAUCACAUGUAGAUCGUGUUUAUUGUCGCAUUCAUAGGAUGGGAUUAUCAAUAAAUGGGUUAUUUAUUGCUCACCAUAUUUCACUUCAUGGCAAAAGACACGAUAGAUCAACAUCAAAAUGAAUACCCUUGACGAGGUUCGGUAUGUACCUUGCUGAGAGAUUGAUAGUAGGCUGCAAGAGAGGGCCGAUUACAUGUCCCGGAUUUAUCACGACCAGAUCGAUCCCGCUCUCUUUAAGGAAAUCCCAAGCUGCCUUCUCCGCCAAGGUUUUGGCAAGCAUGUACC